rnacentral:misc_RNA from 1 species
UCUCCGUUGGCGAACCAGCGGAGGGAUCAUUACAGGACUCGCAAGACUCCUACAACCCUGUGAACUUAACUAUAAGCACGUUGCUUCGGCGGGUGUCUCGGAGGGGGUUCUCCCUCCCCGAGACGCUAAACCCGCCGGCAGCCUACUAUACUCUGUCUCUUUGCGUUGGCAUCUCGAGUACAAUCAAACAAGUUAAAACUUUCAACAACGGAUCUCUUGGUUCU